rnacentral:rRNA from 1 species
AAGGAAUAUUGGUCAAUGGACGCAAGUCUGAACCAGCCAUGCCGCGUGAAGGAUUAAGGCCCUCUGGGUUGUAAACUUCUUUUAUAGGGGAAGAAAUGUGACGGUUCGCCGUCACUUGACGGUACCCUGGGAAUAAGCACCGGCUAACUCCGUGCCAGCAGCCGCGGUAAUACGGAGGGUGCAAGCGUUAUCCGGAUUCACUGGGUUUAAAGGGUGCGUAGGUGGGCAGAUAAGUCAGUGGUGAAAUCUUCCGGCUUAACCGGGAAACUGCCGUUGAUACUGUUUGUCUUGAAUAUUGCGGAGGUAAGCAGAAUAUGUCGUGUUGCGGUGAGAUGCUUAGAUAUAACAUAGAACACCAAUUGCGAAGGAAGCUUACUACACAAUCAUUGACACUGAGGCACGAAAGCGUGGGUAGCGAAC